GCCCGGUAGCUAAAUGCGGAAGAGAUAAGUGCUGAAAGCAUCUAAGCACGAAACUUGCCCCGAGAUGAGUUCUCCCUGAGACUUUAAGUCUCCUGAAGGAACGUUGAAGACGACGACGUUGAUAGGCCGGGUGUGUAAGCGCAGCGAUGCGUUGAGCUAACCGGUACUAAUGAACCGUGAGGCUUAACCUUACAACGCCGAAGGUGUUU
rnacentral:rRNA from 1 species